rnacentral:rRNA from 1 species
GACGAACGCUGGCGGCGUGCUUAACACAUGCAAGUCGAGCGGAAAGGCCACUUCGGUGGUACUCGAGCGGCGAACGGGUGAGUAACACGUGAGUAAUCUGCCCCUGGCUUUGGGAUAGCCACCGGAAACGGUGAUUAAUACCGGAUAUGACCACGUCUCGCAGGGGGUGUGGUGGAAAGUUUUUCGGCCAGGGAUGUGCUCGCGGCCUAUCAGCUUGAUGGUGAGGUAAUGGCUCACCAUGGCUUCGACGGGUAGCCGGCCUGAGAGGGUGACCGGUCACACUGGGACUGAGACACGGCCCAGACUCCUACGGGAGGCAGCAGUGGGGAAUAUUGGACAAUGGGCGGAAGCCUGAUCCAGCAACGCCGCGUGAGGGAUGACGGCCUUCGGGUUGUAAACCUCUUUCAGUACCGACGAAGCGCAAGUGACGGUAGGUACAGAAGAAGCACCGGCCAACUACGUGCCAGCAGCCGCAGUAACAC